rnacentral:lncRNA from 1 species
AUGUCACAAUGGCAGGGGAAGGCCAGGGAGCAAGAAAUUCACCUACUAAUUGUUGAAAGGCAGUGCAGAGCAUGGCUGAAGAUGAAGGCUUGCAGCCAGACCACCUGGACAUGCUGUAGCUCCUCCUGUGGCUUCCUCAAGAGUGGAAUUGGUGUGCCUCACGGCUUCAGCAGUGUCAUGGAAAAAGUGAUGACCUUACAUUCAUAAGUCUCCAGGUCCUAGUCCUGCUACCUACUAUGUGUUUGACCUUGGGUAAGUCAUAGCCUCCUUGUGCUUGAUCUUUCUCAUCUGUAAAAUUUUAUAAU